GGAUGCGAUCAUACCAGCACUAAUGCACCGGAUCCCAUCAGAACUCCGAAGUCAAGCGUGCUUGGGCGAGAGUAGUACUAGGAUGGGUGACCCCCUGGGAAGUCCUCGUGUUGCAUCCC
rfam:Ipomoea nil DNA, scaffold: scaffold2927, cultivar: Tokyo-kokei standard.